rnacentral:snoRNA from 1 species
GUUUUAGGGAGGGAGAGCGGCCUGGGUUUUGGCGUGUUGUGUGCGGAGUUGUGGUGUCGCGUGCGGGCUGAGUGGACGCGUAAGUGUGCGCGCUUGGAGCGUGUUAGGCGAGUGCGUGCGCCCACCCCUGCGCCCCUCCUCCCGCUUACACGUUGAUCUUAUUUGAUCGGGUCGUGACCCCAGCCCCGCCUGUCCGACCCGAAAUGAAAAGCUCUCCUCCUGCGAAGCCCCCUUCUCGAGGCGCUGUGCAGAGAGGCCCCUUAGGCGGCGGCAACGCUGCGGUCCCCGAGGUCCCGGAGCUGGUCCUGCGGGGCCCGGCGCUCAGAAGUGAUGAAUUGAUCAGAUAGACGAGGCCGGGCUUGUCCCCGGCCACUGAUUAUCGAGGCGAUUCUGAUCUCA